AAAUCUACCAACUUUAGUAAACUUCUUUAGAAGUCUACACUGUCUGAUAAUUUUCAGAUCUGAAAAAAAUCUAUACAUUUUGAAAUGUGAAAAUAAUUUUAAAUCUGAAAAUACUUUACAAAAUAGAAUUUAUAAGAUAAACUAGUAGCAAAUUAUAAACUAGUAGCAAAUUAAUGCACAGAGCUUGAUCUAUAAAUUUAUUUGAAUAUAAACAUAUAAAUACAUAUUUAAAUUCUAUUAAUCUAAGACUUAAAUUUUUAGAGGAGAAGAUGAAAUCCAUGAGUGAUAAUACCU
rnacentral:lncRNA from 1 species